rnacentral:rRNA from 1 species
AGGGUUUGAUUAUGGCUCAGGAUGAACGCUGGCGGCGUGCCUAAUACAUGCAAGUCGAACGCGAGCACUUGUGCUCGAGUGGCGAACGGGUGAGUAAUACAUAAGUAACCUGCCCUAGACAGGGGGAUAACUAUUGGAAACGAUAGCUAAGACCGCAUAGGUACGGACACUGCAUGGUGACCGUAUUAAAAGUGCCUCAAAGCACUGGUAGAGGAUGGACUUAUGGCGCAUUAGCUGGUUGGCGGGGUAACGGCCCACCAAGGCGACGAUGCGUAGCCGACCUGAGAGGGUGACCGGCCACACUGGGACUGAGACACGGCCCAG